rnacentral:rRNA from 1 species
UACGUAGGUGGCAAGCGUUGUCCGGAUUUACUGGGCGUAAAGAGCGCGCAGGCGGUCGUUCAAGUCGCGUGUGAAAGCCCCCGGCUCAACUGGGGAGGGUCACGCGAUACUGAUCGACUCGAAGGCAGGAGAGGGAAGUGGAAUUCCCGGUGUAGUGGUGAAAUGCGUAGAUAUCGGGAGGAACACCAGUGGCGAAGGCGGUCUGCUGGGCAGUUGCUGACACUGAGGCGCGACAGCGUGGGGAGCAAACAGG